GCCUGAAGAAUUAGAGAAAAAACACCCAGUGAGGAUUCUAUGGUGCAUAUUGAUUACAUGUGAAUAUUCAUUUCAUCCAGUCCUCAAUCCACCCCUUCUCUGUCCUAAAGGUCAGGGUCUGGUCCUUGCACACUGUAUUUCCCAGGUUCUGUCAGUCCCUGAGAUUCAGAACAGAGAAAAAGAGGUCUGAGAACUAUAUCAAAGGGAAAAUAGGCCUGAUGCUAUCACAACAGUACAGCUAGGGGCUGAAAGAUAAAGAGAAGGAGAGACUGUGGAUCAAAGAUGGGGAAGAGAGGAGGAUCCUGAAAGAUAACCAUCUUUAGUACAUUCUUGGUACAUACAUUUGAAUAUGUAAAAUUAAUAAACCUGUGUUUUUGUACUUCUU